UAGUGUAAUAUUUUAUUAUUUUUGUUCAUUUAUAUGUUUUUAUUUUAUGUAGAAAGAGGAGGACACAGCUACAGCUAUGAUGAUGAGGGGCCAACUCAAAGAGACACCUCUCAGUACUACAAGAGAAAUGUUCCCCAAGACCAGUGUGCCGUCCACCUGUGUCAUCUGGUGUGUACAAGAUGUGCUGAGACUUUUUACAGCACCUUUUUGCCGCAGAAAUCACAGCAUGCCUCCUCCCAUCAGCUUCCUGUGUUUAUGCUGUAGACUUCUGCAUUCAUAU